rnacentral:rRNA from 1 species
CCUUUGGAAAGCUGGUUAAUAUUCCAGCACCUGCUAUAUACUAAAAGUGACGGAGAGCCGUGGUCGCUACGUACUGACGGAUAUGUACGUCUGAGUGGAGUCUUCGGACAAAGCGAAGUGAUAAAAGUUCUUCCAAGAAAAGCGAGUAUAGCAGCCAGUACCGCAAACCGACACAGGUAGACGGGAUGAGUAUUCUAAGGCGCUCGGGUGAGCCGUGGAGAAGGAACUAGGCAAAUUGACGCUGUAACUUCGGGAUAAAGCGUACCGUCUUCGGACGGUCUCAGUAAAAUGGUUCAACCAACUGUUUAACAAAAACACAGGGCCCUGCAAAAUCGAAAGAUGACGUAUAGAGCCUGAUACCUGCCCGGUGCUGGAAGGUUAAGGAAGGGUGUUCGUCGCAAGACAAAGCUCCUGACUGAAGCCCCAGUAAACGGCGGCCGUAACUAUAACGGUCCUAAGGUAGCGAAAUUCCUUGUCGGGUAAGUUCCGACCUGCACGAAUGGUCUAAUGAGUUGAACGCUGUCUCCUCCACGAGCCCGGUGAAAUUGUAGUAUCGGUGAAGAUGCCGGUUACCCGCCACGGGACGGAAAGACCCCGUGAACCUUCACUACAACUUUGCAUUGAUUUUGAAUUACGGAUGUGUAGAAUAGUUGGGACGUUUUGAAGCAUUGCCGCCAGGUAGUGUGGAGCGGUCGUUGAAAUACCAACCUUCUUUGAUUUAGAGUCUAAUCCCUUGCGGGAAACAGUGCAUGGUGGGUAGUUUGACUGGGGUGGUCGCCUCCUAAAGAGUAACGGAGGCUUGCAAAGGUACCCUCAGUACGGUUGGUAAUCGUACGUAGAGCGCAUUAGUAUAAGGGUGCUUGACUGUGAGGCAUACAAGCCGAGCAGGGACGAGAGUCGGCUAAAGUGAUCCGGCGGUUCUGUAUGGAAGGGCCGUCGCUCAAAGGAUAAAAGGUACUCCGGGAUAACAGGCUGAUCUCCCCCAAGAGCUCAUAUCGACGGGGAGGUUUGGCACCUCGAUGUCGGUUCGUCACAUCCUGGGGCUGGAGAAGGUCCCAAGGGUUCGGCUGUUCGCCGAUUAAAGUGGCACGUGAACUGGGUUCAGAACGUCGCAAGACAGUUCGGUCCCUACCUGUGGUGGGCGCAAGUAAAUUGAGAGAACAUGACCUUAGUACGAGAGGACCGGGUCGUACGUACCGCUGGUGUAUCAGUUGUGCCGCCAGGUGCAAUGCUGAGUAGCUAUGUACGGACAGGAUAAACGCUGAAAGCAUCUAAGCGUGAAACCUAUCUCAAGAUGAAUUUACUUUUAAGGGUCGUCAGAGACUAUGACGUUGAUAGGCUAUAGGUGUAAAACUGGUAACAGUAAAGCCAAGUAGUACUAAUUGCCCGUACGCUUUAAUUA